UCUCGCCCAUAUGCGGCCACCGCAUCGCGGCUUCGCCCCGGAGAGCGGGGUGGUGGUGAUGGUGGUGCUGAGGGCCUGCUGCUUUUUCCAGCGUCAUUGCAGGCUCUCACCCAGUCCUUUUCAUGGCCCCAAGCCGCAACUUACUCGAGUGGAAGGAAGCAAGGCCUCGCCAAAGAUGGUUGCAAAAGACCGCGAGCCUCUACCCAGGAUCUUGAAGCCAAGGCCUAAAUGCUGAAAAGCCAGCCCUGCCCAAGGAAAGAGAAGGAUAGGGACCGAGGAAAGGGUUGUUGUAUGAACUCUAUAUAGAAUCAAAGAAGAGCAAGAAAUUUUGGGAUUGGGAUACCAGCAAAGAGUCAUCUUCAGCAACUAUGGGCCAACGGGCAAUACCUGUUGAGAGCUUUUCCAUCACACAGAGUGUUAAGUCAACUUGACUGUGGCACGUGGAAAAUUCAGAGCAUAAACCACAACCAGUUAAACUACAGUAAGUCCCCUACCUACGAACCUUCAAGUUGCAAACGUGUGUUCGCAUGUCCAAUUACAUAACUCAGUUCACAUGUCUGACGUACACUGUCACGUGCAUGCAUCCUCUACAAGCGGUUGUGCUUUUGUGUACGUCACAGUACUGUAGAGAGUACAGUAGUACAGUAUCUUUAUUUCAAGCUAGAUCUGCAAGAGGACGACUUCAUUGAACUUGCUGUGCAACGUGAGCAGAUUACUAAUGAAGACCUGACAGAAUUGGAGGCCCAGAGAAAGGACCAAGAGCGACAAGGGGAAGAAGAAGUAACUGAAGAACCGAAGAGAUUCACGACGCAGAAAAUGGCAAGGGGGUUUUCUUUAUUUGAGGCGGCACUGUUAGUGUUUGAGGCACAGGACCCGAAGGUAGAAUGGUACGUGAAGGUUGCAGCAGCCGUUCAGAACGCGAUCCAGUGCUACCGUGUCAUCUAUGACAAGAAAAGAAGAGCUACUACCCAGACAUCACUGGAUCAUUUUUUCAAGAGGGUAGAUAGAAUUGAAUCCAGCAAGGAACCAGAACCUGUGCCAUCAACGUCAGGCGUGAGCGACAUUGCAGCUUGCCCUCCAUCUCCUGUUGCUGACGAUCCUUCAGCUCUACCAUCUCCCACCCCCUCUCCCUCCUCGUCAGUAACUCUUCUUGCAAUGCCAGCCCCCGGA